GUGAUGAUCACGAUAGAAUUUAUGAUUGAUAGAUUCAUAGUGUUUUUCACGAGAACAUAUCCGAAUAAUGCAGAGAACACCAGUGAAGUCGAGGCUAAAAGAGCAGCGGUUGAUGCUGGUAGAUAGGCAUAGGCAUAUGCAUACAUGAGGUUGUCAGCAGCACUCAAGAAUCCCAAGACAAUAUAAGAUAAAGUUAGUUUUAAGUCGAGUGGCGUCGGGAACACUUUAAGAAAGAAGUACGAAGGGAUUAGGACUAUCG
rnacentral:misc_RNA from 1 species